CAGCAUCUUCGUUUCACGUUGGCUUUGCGUUUGUUUCUUACUGAGCUGGAGGAGCACGGAGGACAGACAUGUUGCACUGCUAUGAAGUCGUUGGGCAAUAUGUUCAUAACCUGUUCAGAUAUCCUUGUGUGAAGACUUUUAGGAAGUCAUGAGGUCAUAUUUUAACAGAAGCCGUUUGGUGUUAAUGGCCGCCAUUUACUCGAGACUCCCGUGUCCUCACAUGUGUAGCACGACGGUAAGCCUGCAGUCUCCAGAGUCCAAAGCUGACGUCAGAGAACCUGCUCUCAAAUGUUGUCACGCAUAGCCACUCUGAGGAGCAGGAUUUAAGGUUGCCAUUCCUCUGCAGAAGCAUGAAAGCUGACCAGCAGCAGCAGGAGGAGGAGGAGGUUAAAAAAGGAGAGAUUACAGGAGGAAAAAACUUUGAUGCGUACAUAUGCAAAUGAGGCUGGAAAUGUCAAAUUAGCAUAGAUUUGGGUCGGCCUCCCUCGCAGCUACGGGCAGCCGGGACGCCUGACAGCUCGGCCCGCGUCCAGACGGCCUGCUUUACAUAUUAGAGAGGCCUCCCAUCACCGCGGGUUACCACCAGCAUCUCGUCGCCUAGGAGACUGAUGGAGACUGACAGGGCGGACGGCCUGAGUGAUAGACUGACGGCUGAGAAAGAGAGAAAGAGAAAGAGGGGGGAUUAGCUGUGGGCCUCGCUCGUCCACAGAAUGUAAACAGGCUCGAUUAUGUAAAUGUGUCGCUAAUUUAAUCAAUUACUGCCGG
rnacentral:lncRNA from 1 species